rnacentral:tRNA from 1 species
AAACUAUUAGGAUUAGUUUUGAAAACUAAUUGUGAUUUUAUAUCGUGGUUUUU